AGGGAUCAUUACAGAGUUCAUGCCCUUACGGGUAGAUCUCCCACCCUUGUGUAUUUAUACCUUUGUUGCUUUGGCAGGCCGCCUGGGCUUCUUGCCUGGCCACCGGCUCCCGGGCUGGCGCGUGCCUGCCAGAGGAUCUCCAAACUCUAGUUAUCAGUGUUGUCUGAGUACUAUACAAUCGUUAAAACUUUCAACAACGGAUCUCUUGGUUCUGGCAUCGAUGAAGAACGCAGCGAAAUGCGAUAAGUAAUGUGAAUUGCAGAAUUCCGUGAAUCAUCGAAUCUUUGAACGCACAUUGCGCCCGCUGGUAUUCCGGCGGGCAUGCCUGUUCGAGCGUCAUUACACCCUCAGCUUCGCUGGUGUUGGAGGCGGCAGUGCCCCUCUCAAAAGCAGUGGUGACCACGGCCCUCACGCGUAGUAAUGCUCGCGACGGUGGUCGGACGUCUCCCACAACAUCGCUUCGGCGACCAUGUUUGACCUCGGAUCAGGUAGGGUUACCCGCUGAACUUAA
rnacentral:rRNA from 1 species